rnacentral:misc_RNA from 1 species
GAUGAAGAACGCAGCGAAAUGCGAUACUUGGUGUGAAUUGCAGAAUCCCGUGAACCAUCGAGUUUUUGAACGCAAGUUGCGCCCGAAGCCAUUAGGCCGAGGGCACGCCUGCCUGGGCGUCACACGUUGUUGCCCCCCCAUCUACUCCUUCGGGAUUGCGGGGGGCGGAUGAUGGCCUCCCGUGCGCCUCGUCGCGCGGUUGGCAUAAAUGCCAAGUCCUCGGCGACGCACGCCACGACAAUCGGUGGUUGCGAAACCUCGGUUGCCCGUCGUGUGCGGUCGUCGCGCAUCGAGGGCUCGAAAAAAUUGCCGGGCUCCGGCUCGGCUUUCAACGCGACCCCAGGUCAGGCGGGGUUACCCGCUGAAUUUAAGCAUAUCAAUAAGCGGAGGA